rnacentral:rRNA from 1 species
GCCGGCGACCGGCGCACGGGUGCGUAACACGUAUGUAAUCUGCCCAUCACAGGAGGAUAGCCCGGAGAAAUUCGGAUUAAUACUCCAUAAUAGGUUGUGAGGCAUCUCACGGCUUUGAAAGUUCCGACGGUGAUGGAUGAACAUGCGACUGAUUAGUUAGUUGGUGAGGUAACGGCUCACCAAGACCACGAUCAGUAGGGGUACUGAGAGGUUAAACCCCCACACUGGUACUGAGACACGGACCAGACUCCUACGGGAGGCAGCAGUAAGGAAUAUUGGACAAUGGCCGCAAGGCUGAUCCAGCCAUGCCGCGUGCAGGAAGACGGACCUAUGGUUUGUAAACUGCUUUUGAACUAGAGAAAACCCCUUUACGUGUAAAGGGCUGAUAGUAUAGUUAGAAUAAGCAUCGGCUAACUUCGUGCCAGCAGCCGCGGUAAGACGAAGGAUGCAAGCGUUAUCCGGAUUCAUUGGGUUUAAAGGGAGCGUAGGCGGAUUUGUAAGUCAGUGGUGAAAUCUCUUCGCUUAACGAAGAAACUGCCAUUGAUACUGCAGAUCUUGAGUACAGUUGCCGUUGGCGGAAUAUGACAUGUAGUGGUGAAAUACUUAGAUAUGUCAUAGAACACCGAUUGCGAAGGCAGCUAACGAAGCUGUAACUGACGCUGAGGCUCGAAAGUGCGGGGAUCAAACAGGAUUAGAUACCCUGGUAGUCCGCACUGUAAACGAUGAUCACUCGUUGCUGGGGGGUAACCUUCAGUGACCAAGCGAAAGCGAUAAGUGAUCCACCUGGGGAGUACGCCGGCA